UGUGUGAGAUGUUGGGUUAAGUCCCGCAACGAGCGCAACCCUGUUUUUAGUUGCCAGCAUUAGUUGGGCACUCUARAGAGACUGCCGGUGACAAACCGGAGGAAGGUGGGGAUGACGUCAAGUCAKCAUGCCCCUUACGUCCUGGGCUACACACGUACUACAAUGGUGCGGACAAAGGGAUGCCAACCCGCGAGGUGAGCUAAUCUCUUAAACCACGGCUCAAA
rnacentral:rRNA from 1 species